rnacentral:rRNA from 1 species
UACGUAGGCUGCAAGCGUUGUUCGGAAUUACUGGGCGUAAAGAGUGUGUAGGCGGUUCUCCAAGUCUGGUGUGAAAUAUCCCGGCUUAACUGGGAGGGUGCAUUAGAAACUGGAAUGCUAGAGGAUGGGAGAGGUAAGCGGAAUUCCUGGUGUAGCGGUGAAAUGCGUAGAUAUCAGGAGGAACACCUGUGGCGAAGACAGCUUACUGGACCAUUUCUGACGCUGAGACACGAAAGCGUGGGUAGCAAACAGG